rnacentral:rRNA from 1 species
CCUACGGGAGGCAGCAGUGGGGAAUAUUGCACAAUGGGGGAAACCCUGAUGCAGCGACGCCGCGUGAGUGAAGAAGUAUUUCGGUACGUAAAGCUCUAUCAGCAGGGAAGAAAAAAAGUCCUUUGGACUUUGGACGGUACCUGACCAAGAAGCCCCGGCUAACUACGUGCCAGAAGCCGCGGUAAUACGCAGGGGGCAAGCGGUAUCCGGAUUUACUGGGUGUAAAGGGAGCGUAGACGGCAGGGCAUGGCUGGAGUGAAAUGCCGGGGCCCAACCCCGGAACUGCUUUGGAAACUGUGCGGCUGGAGUGCAGGAGAGGUAAGCGGAAUGCCUAGUGUAGCGGUGAAAUGCGUAGAUAUUAGGAGGAACACCAGUGGCGAAGGCGGCUUACUGGACUGUGACUGACGUUGAGGCUCGAAAGCGUGGGGAGCAAACAGGAUUAGAUACCCGAGUAGUC